AGGGAGGCAGCAGUGGGGAAUAUUGCGCAAUGGGGGGAACCCUGACGCGGCAACGCCGCGUGAAGGAUGAAGGUUUUCGGAUCGUAAACUUCUUUGAUGAGGGACGAAUAAUGACGGUACCUCAAAAACAAGCCACGGCUAACUACGUGCCAGCAGCCGCGGUAAUACGUAGGUGGCGAGCGUUGUCCGGAAUUACUGGGUGUAAAGGGCGUGUAGGCGGGAGUACAAGUCAGAUGUGAAAUACCGUGGCUUAACCACGGGGCUGCAUCUGAAACUGUGUUUCUUGAGUGUCGGAGAGGAAAGUGGAAUUCCCAGUGUAGCGGUGAAAUGCGUAGAUAUUGGGAGGAACACCAGUGGCGAAGGCGACUUUCUGGACGAUAACUGACGCUGAGGCGCGAAAGCGUGGGAGCAAACAGGAUUAGAUACCCCUGUAGUCCC
rnacentral:rRNA from 1 species